rnacentral:miRNA from 1 species
CCAACAAGAUCCUGGUGCUGAGU